rnacentral:rRNA from 1 species
GACGAACGCUGGCGGCGUGCUUAACACAUGCAAGUCGAACGGAAAGGCCCUGCUUUUGUGGGGUGCUCGAGUGGCGAACGGGUGAGUAACACGUGAGUAACCUGCCCUUGACUUUGGGAUAACUUCAGGAAACUGGGGCUAAUACCGGAUAGGAGCUCCUGCUGCAUGGUGGGGGUUGGAAAGUUUCGGCGGUUGGGGAUGGACUCGCGGCUUAUCAGCUUGUUGGUGGGGUAGUGGCUUACCAAGGCUUUGACGGGUAGCCGGCCUGAGAGGGUGACCGGCGACAUUGGGACUGCGAUACGGCCCAGACUCCUACGGGCGGCAGCAGUGGGGAAUAUUGCACAAUGGGCGGAAGCCUGAUGCAGCAACGCCGCGUGCGGGAUGACGGCCUUCGGGUUGUAAACCGCUUUCGCAUGUGACGAAGCGUGAGUGACGGUAAUGGGUAAAGAAGCACCGGCUAACUACGUG